CCUACGGGGCGCUGCAGUGGGGAAUAUUGGACAAUGGGCGAAAGCCUGAUCCAGCCAUGCCGCGUGUGUGAAGAAGGCCUUCGGGUUGUAAAGCACUUUCAGUGGGGAAGAAAGCCUUGGGGCUAAUACCCUCGAGGAAGGACAUCACCCACAGAAGAAGCACCGGCUAACUCCGUGCCAGCAGCCGCGGUAAUACGGAGGGUGCGAGCGUUAAUCGGAAUUACUGGGCGUAAAGCGCGCGUAGGCGGUCUGAUAAGCCGGUUGUGAAAGCCCCGGGCUCAACCUGGGAACGGCAUCCGGAACUGUCAGGCUAGAGUGCAGGAGAGGAAGGUAGAAUUCCCGGUGUAGCGGUGAAAUGCGGAGAGAUCGGGAGGAAUACCAGUGGCGAAGGCGGCCUUCUGGACUGACACUGACGCUGAGGUGCGAAAGCGUGGGUAGCAAACAGGAUUAGAUACCCGUGUAGUC
rnacentral:rRNA from 1 species